CUCUUCAUUUCUCUCAUCCCUCUCUUUUUCCUCAUUUCUCUACAAUGGAGAACCAAAGCCGCUCCUCCAUCUCAGUUCAACAGCAAUAUCUUGCCGUGCUAUCUGAAAAUAGGAAAAAUAUUACCAUAACUCUCUCAUCCUCACACAACCUAGCCUUCAUCCGUGAAACUCUUUGCCAUUUUCUCCAUUGCUCUUGAGUCUCGUUCAUGGAAAUCAUCAUCUGCACUAGAUCUUAGUAGCGAAACCCGGAAUCCCAAAGAUCGACAACAAGAGACGUACCAACACCCCAAAAGUUCACAAAUCCAUGGCUGAUCAUCUUGGACUCCUUCGCUCCGCAAAUCUGUCGCUUGAAAGGUAGAAAUCGGGAGCAGAUCAUCUCAAACCCACAGACCCGAGCAUAAGAAAGGUGGCUCAGAUCGAGUGGAAAUCCGAGAUGAAGAAUGCUCAAGCUGUAGAUCGAUUGAGUCAAAAAGGAAAUAUUAACUGUCAAGCUCCUAGAAUUGCAACAGGAAAAUACCCCAGAUCGGUAAAGGAAGCUAGAUGACAAAACUAUUGGCAUACACUGAAGAAUGGCAGCUUAGCAAAAGAGAGAGAUAUAACAUUCUGUCUCUGCAAUGUGAAUCACAGAUGUGGUUGAUGUUGAUGAUCUUUUUUGUCUUGUUUGCUGUUUGCAAGUCCAAACAAUUACCUUAGCACUA